rnacentral:rRNA from 1 species
UUCCGUAGGGGUACGGAACAACUCGAGGGAAACUUGAGCUAAUACCGUAUACGUCCGUGAGGAGAAAGAUUUAUCGCCCUUAGACGGGCCCGCGUCGGAUUAGCUAGUUGGUGGGUAACGGCCUACCAAGGCGACGAUCCGUAGCUGAUCUUAGAGGAUGAUCAGCCACACUGGGACUGAGACACGGCCCAGACUCCUACGGGAGGCAGCAGUGGGGAAUCUUGGACAAUGGGCGCAAGCCUGAUCCAGCCAUGCCGCGUGAGUGAAGAAGGUCUUCGGAUUGUAAAGCUCUUUUGCCAGGGACGAUAAUGACGGUACCUGGAGAAUAAGCCCCGGCAAACUUCGUG